CAGACGGGUGAGUAACGCGUGGGAACGUGCCCUUCACUAAGGAAUAGCUUCUGGAAACGGAAGGUAAUACCUUAUACGCCCUUCGGGGGAAAGAUUUAUCGGUGAAGGAUCGGCCCGCGUUAGAUUAGUUUGUUGGUGGGGUAAUGGCCUACCAAGACUACGAUCUAUAGCUGGUCUGAGAGGAUGAUCAGCCACACUGGGACUGAGACACGGCCCAGACUCCUACGGGAGGCAGCAGUGGGGAAUCUUGCACAAUGGGCGAAAGCCUGAUGCAGCCAUGCCGCGUGAAUGAUGAAGGCCUUAGGGUUGUAAAAUUCUUUCGCCAGGGAUGAUAAUGACAGUACCUGGUAAAGAAGCCCCGGCUAACUUCGUGCCAGCAGCCGCGGUAAUACGAAGGGGGCUAGCGUUGUUCGGAAUUACUGGGCGUAAAGCGCGCGUAGGCGGGCUGUUAAGCCAGAUGUGAAAGCCCAGAGCUCAACUCUGGAAUUGCAUUUGGAACUGGCAGCCUAGAGACCAGGAGAGGUUAGCGGAAUACCGAGUGUAGAGGUGAAAUUCGUAGAUAUUCGGUGGAACACCAGUGGCGAAGGCGGCUAACUGGACUGGUACUGACGCUGAGGCGCGAAAGUGUGGGGAGCAAACAGGAUUAGAUACCCUGGUAGUCCACACCGUAAACGAUGAAUGCUAGUUGUCUGCGCGCAUGCGUGCAGGUGACGCAGCUAACGCAUUAAGC
rnacentral:rRNA from 1 species